rnacentral:lncRNA from 1 species
GAGGCGAUGAGGCUGGUCGCGAAGAUGAAAGAAAGAGGAUGCGAGCCCAAUGUAUGGGUUUACAACUCGCUCAUGGACAUGCACGGGAGAGUCAAGAAUUUGAGGCAAGUGGAGAAGCUAUGGAAGGAGAUGAAGCGAAAGAAGGUGGUUCCUGAUAGAGUGAGCUACACUAGUGUUAUAAGCGCUUACAGCAAGGCAGGAGAUUUUGAAACCUGCAUGAGAUUUUACCACGAAUUUAGGAUGAAUGGAGGUGUCAUCGACAGGGUUAUUGCUGGGAUCAUGGUUGGGAUUUUCUCCAAGAGUGGUCGGGUGGAUGAGUUGGUUAAGCUUUUGCAGGAUAUGAAGACAGAAGGAACCGGGCUAGAUGAGAGGCUGUAUAGAUCAGCCUUGAAUGCUUUGAGGGACGCGGGGC